AUGGUUUUAGAUAAUAGAACCCGCAGUCCCUAUGUAAGUGGAUCUAGCAAAACGAUUCAUUUUUGCACAUUAAUCCCUGCAUUUUGUAACAAUUUCGCCCGCACUCCUUUGUUCAUCUUAUCCAGCGGCAGAGAUGUUGGAAGGGGGGAGGCUGCUGUCGUCGACGAGCUCGUCGGCGCGGAAGGUGCCCGCCCCUCUCCUCCGCCUCCAGCAUCGCCGGAACCCUACAGGUGCGUCUCCAUUCACAAGAACUCGAUCUCCCAUGUGCUCGUCGGCCAGCAGCCGCGAGUCUACGCGAGGUGGGUGGAGCAGCUCGGCGCCCAUGACCUCCACCAUGGCUCCGUCGAUGCGCUCCACUGCCUGCUCGCCGGCGCCGACCUCUACCUGCCCCAGCACAUGGACGCUGAGAAGCGCUGUUAG
rnacentral:rRNA from 1 species